CUACAGCCAAACAUCAACUCUACACUGAUCUGGUACAAAAAAUACUUCAAGAUGCUGGUUCCUGCGCACAUGGCUCCUGAAGACACUCUGGAAAAUCCAGAGGAGAGGAGAGAAGAGGAGCAAGAGUUAGAGCAACCAGAAGAGACUGCGGAAGAAGCCUCCAGCUCCCAAAAGGCACCGGUCGAGCAGCUCAAUCUAAAC